GCAAUAGUUAAAUUUAAUGAUGACAUUUAAAUAUAUAUAUAUAUUCAGAGAGAAACUGAAAUCUUUGAAUAUGAAGUUUACUAUAAUCUGAAAUUACAGUUAUAAAAUAGAGUAUUGUAUAUAUCUUAAAUAAUUAAUGUAAUAUUGAUUCAUCAACUGAAUCCUAUUAUUACUAGGGGCAGGCUGCCUCUAGCACCCCCUUUCAAAGGGUAGGCAAACGAUCCUCUAAAUCCCAGGGGAUGAAAGGCAUCAUUAAUUGCUUCAAAGGGUUGAACAGCUCAGGCAGAACACUCUAUAGAAGAAGCUUCAUGAAACAUGCAGCUUGGGAGAA
rnacentral:sRNA from 2 species